rnacentral:lncRNA from 7 species
GGAUCACAUAUUCAACCCCUUUAGGUGGCCUCAUAACUUCAAAUCCCACUUUCGUUUUGUUUAAGAACUACCUAGGCUGGUCAAUCAUAGAUUAGGGAGCUCGUUUUUGGUUGAUCUUGUGUAAGGUGCAUUUCUGAAGAUUCUCAAAAAGCAAAGUUAGAUAGAACAUUUAUUGAGUUUUCACUCUAAUUUCUUCUGAAAAGUUCGAAUAUAAAUGAUCUUACUCUCUGUACCCAAGUUGGAGUUGGUAUAUAGAGCUUCAGUCCUUAAUUAAGCUUUUGUUCCUACGACCAAAUCUUGAAGAAUUUGUGUGCCUAUAAAAUCCAACAGGAAUCUAACCUGCUUCUAACACUCUAAAAUGUUCAGUGACAGUUGAGGCACAACGACACUUCAUUUUGGAAGUUUCCAUUUGGAUAUUUAAAUAUAUUCUUCCUUGAUUGCAAUCUAUCAUGUCUUGCUCUUCAAAGUACCUGAAGUCCUGGACAUCAGUUUUCUUGUCAUGCUUCAACUCUGGCUCACAAUUUAUGCAGUCACUAAUGGUUCAGAUAGUUAUUUUGCAUUGCCUUUAGACUCAGCCAAAAAGCCAAUUUUUGAUAUGCCUUAGUAUACUUAAGUGUGUACUGCAAGACUAGGUUCAUUUUUAGCUCAAAGUACUCUAAUUAUUUAUCCGAACUUUCUCAAGUUCACAAUUCGAAAAUUGUAGUUUUUUUCCUGUAUUUUUUCUUUUUAAGUUAAACUUUCCAAUUUGAGGAUCACUCAGUCUUCCUUAUCGAUGCUUGUCUAGGCUCAUGGGCCUUAUGUCCAAAAACUUAGCUGGUCUCAAAUUACCUGUUGCUUACAUAAAUUUUCCAAAACUCCCACCUGACCAACCAUUUGCAGGUUUUAGGCAUGAUAAUGCAAUGGCUGUUGACAGAUACACUUGCAAUUCCACUUUUUAUUGUAUAUCAAGCACCACCUAAUAAUGUCAAGCUUGUACAUCCCAUUUUUUCUGUUGUGGUUCAAGGCGGUAAUAAAAAUCAUUCAGAA